rnacentral:lncRNA from 1 species
UCAGAUAAAGAACAAAUUUGAAGAGCAAAAGUUAGGGAUGGGAUCUUCAAGGGGGAUAUUAAGUAAUUGUCCUCAAGUUCAUAACCUUCAAACCUGAAUGGUGAAAAGCUCAAAUUUGGAGAGUCACAGCUGCUGGUUAAUCUAGAAGCUGUGCUUCAGUUAUUCCUUCAUGUAUCAUGAGUUCGUUCAUUCAAUAAACAUCUACUGAACUCCUACAAUGUGCAGAGUAGAACACUUCAUUUGGGCUAUGAAGACAGACAUGCUAGUUGUUGCUAUAAAACUAUAAAAUGUGUACAUAUACUAGGUUACAAGCAGAUAUGAUAUAAUCCAGACACAAUAUAAACAUAAACAAAGAGCUUAAGGACACUUGGAAAAAGGAACAAUCGAUUCUCUCUGGAAGCUCUGAUAGCUUUGUGUCCAGAGACGGGAAAAGAGGGAAGGGCUUUGAAAUGAUGAGAUGUGCUGGCAUUCGGCUGCCCGGCAGGGGCCAGUGGCCAGUGGCAGCCUCACAGUCAUCACUGGAACUACAAGCAGCUCUCCUUACAGGUGACCACACGUGCUCUUUUGCCUGGGGAUGGCUCUGGUUUAUACCGUGUGUACUGGUGUCAUUAUUAAUCUGGCUCCUCUUCGCUGUCCAGAGUGACUGUCUGCUUCCCUGGCGCUCUUCUGCAACCUGGUAGUGUUCAAUGACCAUGGGAUCUCUGGACGGUGCUGUGUACAACAUGCUGUGGACCGAGGGUGAGACAUCCAGGGGUGGAGCAUUCCAUAUCAGGAAACUCUGCUGUAGGCCUUGAACUCCAUAUGUUGCUGACUUUAGAGAAGAUGAAGUUUUGUUUAGUAAUUCACUGGCCGUCCUUUCCCUACAUUAGUGGACUUUCUAGUCAGUUGCCAUAUGUCUUCAUUGUUGCUUUAUUUAUUUGCUUUUCCAAAUAGUUGGUGGAUCUGCAAAAUAUUUGUAUAAGGAAUUCACCACGUCAUUGUCACUUUUGAAACUUCUCAUUUUCUACUUUAAGGAAAUGGAAGCACAGAAACAUGAAGUAAAUAGCCCCAAUUAAAAAUAGAUUUAUUAUUUGUCAUCAUGCAUUUCCCAUAGGCUGUGGGCUUAUCAUCAAUACAAGGUACAGCAGAAAACUCCUUGGGUGGGGAGUCCAGACAGCUGCACCUUCACAUUCCACCAUCCAUUAAUAGCUCCUGUAACUUUGCAGAAACUCAGGUGCCGGGUUUCUUCUGUUUAAAGAGGGCAUUGUGGGAUUAACUGUGUUUGUCUCGAUUCCAAAAUUCCAUAUUCCAAUAUUUAAGUUUUAUCUUAUUUCCAGUAUAUAGAAGUUUCUGGAACAAUAGGAUUAAGCAAUUUGACUUGGAGUAGGUGACCCAUUAGAAGCAGAGAUGGGAUCCUGGAGACCCUAUUUCCAAUCAGUGUCUUACCCUACUAGCCCCUUUAGAAAGUUCUGUCUUCCUUUUUGCAGGUUUUAAAGUUUUUCAAGAUUCAAAAUAACAUUAAAAGAUUAAGCCUAAUACCCCAUACCAGCAUUUCUUUUAUACGCAGGCCUCAAAGUUCAAUGGGGACUAAGACUUCCUAACAUCUCAGUGACCCCCCGCCUACAGAUAUAAGAAACUCAGCUCGGAAUAUACGGUAAGCAGGUAUGAUGUCCUUGGGAGCUGGAGACAGGGCUGAAUGCAUCCAGGACGGGCCUCUCUGCUCCAAAGCCCCCCACCCUCCCCC